GCAGACACAUUCCAGCCAAUCAGCAGCAGACCCUCCCUCCCAGACCCUCCCACCUCCUGGACAGCAUCAUUGUGAAGCUGCAUUCUUAGUGAGCUGUCCAGGAGGUGGGAGGGUCUGGGAGGGAGGGUCUGCUGCUGAUUGGCUGGAAUGUGUCUG